rnacentral:rRNA from 1 species
AACUCUGGGCGGUGGAUCACUCGGCUCGUGAGUAGAUGAAGAGCGCAGCCAGCUGCGUGAAUUAAUGUGAAUUGCAGGACACAUUGAGCAUCGAUAACCUUGAACGCACAUUGCGGCCUCGGUCAGUCCCGGGGCCACGCUGACUGAGGGUCG